GCCCGCUUGGCUCAGUGGUAAAGCGUGUCACUCGUAUGCAAUAUCUGAAAUGACAAGAUCAUCAGUUCAAUUCUGAUAGUGGGCA